rnacentral:misc_RNA from 1 species
GGGUGGGCUACUGGCUUGGCUGCUGGUGAAGGGGACUGGAUGAGAGAGUUUUCUUUUUUUUAAAGUAGUGAUUGAUCUUACUGAUGCUGGUCAUAGUUAGUUUUAGUAUUCUUUCCAACUUCAGUUUUGUUUGAUUGGUCUGUGAGCCUUGCACUUAUCUUUUGACGGAGCUGCAAAGUUUAAUUUUAGCUUAUUUGUCUGACACCUGGAGCUGAUCUGUUUUCUGGGCAAACUAUUUUUCUUGAUUGAAUGCAGAACACAUGCAGGAUAUUGUAGGGCUGCUAUUCAAAUACAUUCAGCUCUUGCAGCAAUCUGGUGUUAGCAAAUGGAUAUUUGAUGACGUAUGGGAAUAUAAUAUGCAUCAUAUGAUGAUGAAUCCUACUUUAAAUUUCAUCUUGUAAAUCAUAAUGUUCCAAAUUUAUCCUGUUAAUACAUAUGUAUAUGCAUAUGGGCUAUUCACUAGAAAGAGCUCCAUGUCAUGGUAAUUCUAGGUAUUUGGAAAUCCUGCUAAAUCUACAUGUUAUCUUUAAUAGAGUUCAGAUUUUGAGAUGUUCAGUAACGAUUAAAUAUUUUUCCCCUAUGACUUCUAGAUUCAUGCAAAAUGAAUCAGACCAACUGUUUUCAUGUUCUAUGUUUUCUUGCAGUUGAAUGCUGAUUCAGUUAAUCUUAUUUUCCAGUUAACAAAUUAAAUGUGGCAAUAUAUUAGUUGACUUAUAUAAAUUCAAAAAAAAUUGCAUAAGAGAAAUGUCUUAAUAUAUUUUCGAUAGCAUAAUGGGUUACAAACAUGUCACAAUUUUGAGAGUGAAAUUUUCAUGAUGCACCAUGACAGUUUUAUGUUUCUCCACAGAAAAUUAUCUUUUUAAGAGCAUUUAUCAUCUCUCUUUGUUAGGUUUCUACCUGAUUUAUAGUUAUCCUUAACAUUUAGUUUCAGUAUUGAGGUUUGUCUUUCAUUUUCUUGAAGAUUCUGAAACAUUUUAUCAUUUGGAUGAAGCUUGCUGCUGUUUGUGAGACAAUAUUCCAUUAUCAGGACAAAACCCCUCCAAUUGAUUAUGUAGUCAAAAUUGCAUCCAAUAUGAAGUUAUAUCCUCCUAAAGAUUGGCUAGUUCAAUCCUCCAUGCCUUCCAAAUUCAACCCAAGCAUAAUUCAAUCAGUAAUGGAUCAACUUUCUCCGAAAAAUGUCCGAAUCUUUUGGGAAUCAAAGAAAUUUGAAGGACAAACUGAUAAGGUAGAGCCAUGGUAUGGAACAGCAUAUACUGUUGAGAAAAUCACCAGCUCCAUGAUUCAGGAAUGGAUGCUGUCUGCUCCUAAUGAUAAGCUGCAUUUACCAGCACCGAAUGUGUUCAUCCCUACUGACCUAUCACUGAAGGAUGCUCAAGAGAAGGUCAAAUUUCCAGUUCUGUUAAAAAAGUCGUCCUAUUCAUCUUUAUGGUACAAGCCUGACACAGUGUUCUGUACGCCCAAGGCUUAUGUUAAGAUAGAUUUCAGUUGCCCCCAUGGUGGCAGCUCUCCUGAGGCUGAAGUUCUAACUGAUAUUUUUACUCGGUUGCUAAUGGAUUAUCUGAAUGAAUAUGGUAUGAAGAGAAAUUUUAUGUUUCUCUUUUGUGUUUUGUUUUUAAACAACACCCCACCGUGCCCGCCGCCCCACACCCCCCACAGCCACCCCUCUGCUUCUCUCUUCCCCCUUUUCCCAAAAGAAAGAAAGUGCUUUUAAGUGGUAUGGUGUGCUUAACAGCUUAAUUUAUUUUGUAUGUUUCAGCUUAUUAUGCACAGGUUGCUGGUCUAUACUAUGGCAUUACCAAUACAGACAGUGGUUUUCAGGUAGUUGUCUAACUAUAGUAAUGUCUGUAGUGAGGUUAAUAUAUAAAACUAAAACUUUUACAAACAAGGAGGAAUAUCUUCUUGCCUUCACCGUUUUUAAUUCUUUCUGGUUGAGCAAUCUAGAUAAUUGGCCUAACAGUCUGACAAGUCAUGAAAUUGCAAACUAAAUUUUUCCUUAGCUGAGAUUUAAGUCUUCAUGACAUUGUAAUCAUUGUCUGCUGUAAGUGUCAGCUAUAUUUGUUUAUUUUGUGUGAUUUUUUUUUGGGGGGAAGGGUAAUCUUGGGACACAUUGUUUCUUGCAUGUUUAACUUGCUAUUUUUCUGCAUUCCUAAUUCCUACAGGUGACUGUGGUUGGUUACAAUCACAAACUGAGGAUCCUAUUGGAAACUGUUAUUAAAAAAAUUGCAAAAUUUGAAGUCAAACCCGACAGGUUUUCUGUAAUCAAGGAAAUGGUGAUAAAGGAGUACGAAAAUUUCAAGUUUCAGCAACCAUAUCAGCAGGCUAUGUAUCAUUGCUCUUUAAUUCUACAGAAUCAAGCAUGGCCUUGGAUGGAUGAACUUGAAGUGCUUCCUCAUCUUGAAGCAGAAGAUCUUGCUAAGUUUGUCCCAUUGAUGCUCUCAAGAGCUUUCUUGGAGUGCUAUAUAGCAGGUAACAUUGAACGCAGCGAGGCAGAGUCAAUAAUUGAGCAUAUAGAAGAUGUCUUUUACAAGGGCCCAAUUCCUAUUUGCCAACCAUUAUUCCCAUCCCAGCAUUUGACU